rnacentral:rRNA from 1 species
GGAAGAGAAAGAGAAGUCGAUUCCGUAAGUAGCGGCGAGCGAAAGCGGAGGAGCCCAAACCGGACACAGUCCGGGGUUGUAGGACCGCCGGUAAAGAUGACAUGAAGAGUCAGGAGAAUCCCAUGGGAAGGGGAUCCGAAGAGGGUGAGAGACCCGUAUCCGAAGGCUCGACAUGGAUCGAGGCGGCACCUGAGUACGGCGGGGCACGUGGAAUCCUGCCGGAAUCAUCGGGGACCAUCCCGAAAGGCUAAACACUACUCUGUGACCGAUAGCGAACCAGUACCGUGAGGGAAAG